rnacentral:lncRNA from 1 species
GUAGAAUCCUUCCUGAUUGUCUUUAAAUUUUUUUUUUCAAAUAUUUUAUUUAUUUAUUUGUCAGAGAGAGAAAGAAAGAGAGUGAAUGGGCACACGCAGGCAGAGUGGCAGGCAGAAGGAGAAGCAGAUUUCCCGCUGAGCAGGCAGCCAGAGAGCAGACUGUGUGCAUGUAUAGAAUACCAUUGAUUUGUGUAACAAGGUCCUUUUACUAGGGGUAAGUGCUUUUUAGGAUAAAAUCAGAUUAAAAUUAUUAUAGUUAUUCAUGCUUUUUAAAAUUGUUUUAUUUAAAAUAAUAGAAGCUAUACACCAA